rnacentral:rRNA from 1 species
AGUCGUGGGGAGCAAACAGGAUUAGAUACCCUGGUAGUUCACGCCGUAAAUAUAUGUCAAAUAGCCGUUGGGAACACUUGAAUUUUUAGUGGCUCAGCUAAAGCAUUAAGUUGGACGCCUGGGGAGUAAGGCCGCAAGGUUAAAACUCAAAUGAAUUGACGGGGGCCCGCACAAACGGUGGAGCAUGUGGUUUAAUUUGAAGCAAAGAGAAGAACCCUCCCAGGCCUUGACAUCCAAUGAACUUUCCAAAGAAGGAUUGGUGCCUUUGGGAACAAUUAAACAGGUGGCGGAAUGCUGUUGUUAACCCGUUUCCCGAGAUGUUGGGUUUAGUCCCGUAAAGAGCCCAACCCUUGUCCUUAGUUACCAGCACGUAAUGGUGGGCCCUUUAAGGAAAUAUCCCGCGACAAACCCGAGGAAAGGGGGGAAGACGGCAAGUCAUCCAGGGCCUUACGGCCUGGGCUACACACGUGGUACAAUGGUCGGUACAAAGGGUUGCCAAACCUCGAGGGGGAGCUAAUCCCAGAAAACCGAUUGUAGUCCGGAUCGCAGUUUUCAACUCGAUUGUGUGAAGUUGGAAUCGCUAGUAAUGGGGAAUCAGAAUGUCGCGGUGAACCCGUUCCCGGGCCUUUUACACACCGCCCGCCCCCCCA